ACGUAGGGGGCGAGCGUUAUCCGGAAUUACUGGGCGUAAAGGGCAUGUAGGCGGCCCUUCAAGUCGCGCGUCAAAGUCCAGUGCUCAACGCUGGGUGUGCACGCGAUACUGACGGGCUUGAGGGCUGGAGAGGUGAGCGGAAUUCCCGGUGUAGUGGUAAAAUGCGUAGAGAUCGGGAGGAACACCAGCGGCGCAGGCGGCUCACUGGACAGUUUCUGACGCUAAGAUACGAAAGCGUGGGGAGCGAACAG
rnacentral:rRNA from 1 species